rnacentral:rRNA from 1 species
AUCGGCAGCUACACAUGCAGUCGAGCGGUAGCACAGAGGAGCUUGCUCCUUGGGUGACGAGCGGCGGACGGGUGAGUAAUGUCUGGGAAACUGCCUGAUGGAGGGGGAUAACUACUGGAAACGGUAGCUAAUACCGCAUAACCUCGCAAGAGCAAAGUGGGGGACCUUAUGGCCUCACGCCAUCGGAUGUGCCCAGAUGGGAUUAGCUGGUAGGUGGGGUAAAGGCUCACCUAGGCGACGAUCCCUAGCUGGUCUGAGAGGAUGACCAGCCACACUGGAACUGAGACACGGUCCAGACUCCUACGGGAGGCAGCAGUGGGGAAUAUUGCACAAUGGGGGAAACCCUGAUGCAGCCAUGCCGCGUGUGUGAAGAAGGCCUUCGGGUUGUAAAGCACUUUCAGCGGGGAGGAAGGCAACAAGCUUAAUAAUCUUGUUGAUUGACGUUACCCGCAGAAGAAGCACCGGCUAACUCCGUGCCAGCAGCCGCGGUAAUACGGAGGGUGCAAGCGUUAAUCGGAAUGACUGGGCGUAAAGCGCACGCAGGCGGUCUGUUAAGUUGGAUGUGAAAUCCCCGGGCUUAACCUGGGAACUGCAUUCAAAACUGACAGGCUAGAGUCUCGUAGAGGGGGGUAGAAUUCCAGGUGUAGCGGUGAAAUGCGUAGAGAUCUGGAGGAAUACCGGUGGCGAAGGCGGCCCCCUGGACGAAGACUGACGCUCAGGUGCGAAAGCGUGGGGAGCAAACAGGAUUAGAUACCCUGGUAGUCCACGCCGUAAACGAUGUCGACUUGGAGGCUGUGGUCUUGAACCGUGGCUUCCGGAGCUAACGCGUUAAGUCGACCGCCUGGGGGAGUACGGCCGCAAGGUUAAAACUCAAAUGAAUUGACGGGGGGCCCGCACAAGCGGUGGAGCAUGUGGUUUAAUUCGAUGCAACGCGAGAACCUUACCUACUCUUGACAUCCUCAGAAGAGACUGGAGACAGUCUUGUGCCUUCGGGAACUGAGAGACAGGUGCUGCAUGGCU